rnacentral:rRNA from 1 species
CCCUUAGACGUUCUGGGCCGCACGCGCGCUACACUGACGGAGCCAGCGAGUAUAAACCUUGGCCGAGAGGUCUGGGAAAUCUUGUGAAACUCCGUCGUGCUGGGGAUAGAGCAUUGUAAUUAUUGCUCUUCAACGAGGAAUUCCUAGUAAGCGCAAGUCGUCAGCUUGCGUUGAUUACGUCCCUGCCCUUUGUACACACCGCCCGUCGCUACUACCGAUUGAAUGGCUUAGUGAGGCUUCCGGAUUGGUUUAGAGAAGGGGGCAACUCCAUCUUGGAACCGAGAAGCUAGUCAAACUUGGUCAUUUAGAGGAAGUAAAAGUCGUAACA